rnacentral:rRNA from 1 species
CCUACGGGUGGCUGCAGUGAGGAAUAUUGGUCAAUGGACGCGAGUCUGAACCAGCCAAGUAGCGUGAAGGAUGACUGCCCUACGGGUUGUAAACUUCUUUUAUAAAGGAAUAAAAGGGGGCACGUGUGCCUUUUUGUAUGUAAUUUAUGAAUAAGGAUCGGCUACCUCAGUCUCAGCAGCAGCGGUAAGACUGAGGCUCCGAGCGUUAUCCGGAUUUAUUGGGUUUAAAGGGAGGGUAGGUGGGUUGUUUAGGCAGUUGUGAAAGUUUGCGGCUCAAACGUAAGAUUGCAAUUGAUACUGGCAGUCUUGAGUACAGGUGGGGUAGGCGGAAUUCGUGGUGUAGCGGUGAAAUGCUUAGAUAUCAGGAAGAACCCCGAUGGCGAAGGCAGCUUACUAAACUGCAACUGACAUUGAGGCUCGAAAGUGUGGGUAUCAAACAGGAUUAGAUACCCUGGUAGUC